AUGUCCAUAGAAAAUUCAAAUAAUGAACAAUUUGUUGGAUAGGUCAUAUAUACCAUUCGAUCUAAUCAGGGCCACAAGAUUGUGAAGAGUGAAAUACCAAUCCUUUUUCUUCCAUUCACCACACAACCUCCACCUGAUCAAUUUUCUUCAUCAAUCAAAAGCUGAGGUUCUUGUUUGGUGUCGGUCCUUAAUUUUUCCGACUCUCAAAUUUGUCCUAGUUGCCCCAACUUGUCUCAAAUUGAUCCCAAGCGUUCUUUGGGCUCUCUUUAUGAAGAAUUCAACAUUGUUGGCGCUCAAAUCUCAAUAAAAUUACCAGAAUCCUAACAUUGAAGAACGGCCAUUGAGUUUUUCUUUUUCAAGUGUUUUUAGUAUCUCUUUUAAUUAAGUAGAUGUUGUGAGUUUGAGCUUAAUGAGUUUUUAUGUUUUCAUGGUUUGUUUUUUCUUUCUCUAUUUUCAAUUAGGUUCAGUUAAGUUUAGUUCUUUUGGUUAGCUUAAUUGAUCAAUUGAUAGUUAAUUAGUUCGUCUGAGUGUUGAUUCUCAUUUGGUUAGCUUUAAUUGCUAGUAGUUAGUUGAUUCAGAGUUUGUUGGAUUAGCUAUUGAGUUGGAUUAAUUAGGAUCGUUUUAGUUAUGGUAAUGUUUUAGGAAUCUAACAAUUAGCAUCUAUUCCGUCAUUAGUUAUUAGGAUUAUUUGAAAAAUAGCUAAAAUUACCUAGAUCUUUCUAGAAUAAGACACAAAUCAGAUUUUAAUAAAUUUGAGGUAGCAACAUGUGUUACAAUUAUAAAGGGGACUAAAAGCUAAUUUGAGUAAGAACUAAGGAGAAAAAAAAACAUGGGGUCGCCUCAGUCAUGCCUAUAUAAAGGGCACUCCCAUGCCUUGGAAAGCAAGUUUUUGAACCCCAAUAUUCCUCCAAAAGUUUCCAUCCCAGAUCUGAAUCAAAAACUCGAAAUUGAAAACGUAGAUCUUAGAUUUACCAAAAAAUCCAAAAAAACAGAAAGCACAACAACAAAAAAAAUCAAAAAAUACUGUUACAUUGUUUCCUUUAGUUCAAUUUCAAAUUAUGGCACUAGUGUUCAUCUCAUUUGGGACAAAUAUUGGUUUGCUGAAGCUUUAGGUUGUUUUGGGGGUAUUUUCGAAUUCUUUGGUGUUGCUCAAGUUAUUUUAAUUGGUUUUCCUGAUUGAUUUGGUGCGAAACAUCAACUGGUUUGAAUUUGAAGUGUGAAGUUGAUUUCUGAGUUGAAUACUGUUGUUCGAAUUCCAGCUGUUGGUAUUUUUUGCUGAUUGUUGCUGAUACCUGUGUACUGCUGCUGACCUCCGUCCUUAUUUCUUUUUUAUUCAUGCAUUCAGGUACACAUCUCAAAUACUGCAAAUGUAUCCAUGUUGAAAAGUGCAAUGAAUGAGACUUGACAAUUGUUAUGAAGUUUAGUAGUUGUGUUCUAUCUGUGAUAAUUUAUUUUGUGUUAUAAACUAAAGCAAAAGACAAGAACAAUAGAGCAAGAACAAUAGCAAUAGAGAG
rnacentral:lncRNA from 1 species